GGGCAUGUUAGCACAUGACUCUAAUCCUAGCCACCAGAGAGGUUGAGGCUGGCAGAUUUCUUGAGCUCAGGAGUUCUGAGCUUCAGAGGACUAUUCAAAUUGGAUAUACAUACUAAGUCUGGCAUUAAUAUGGUGAGACCCUAGGAGCAAGGGACAACCAGGUGGCCUAAGGAAGGGUUGAACCAGCUGACGUUAGAAGCGAAAUGGGUCAAAGCUCCAGUGCCGGGCAGUUGUGGGAUCCAGCCUCUGAAGAGUACCUGUACUCCCAACCUGGGUGAAAUGGGGAGAACCAAGCUAA
rnacentral:SRP_RNA from 1 species